GUCAGUCUUGUUUGACACUGUACUCGAAUCCUCUAACCUGUGUCCUGAGUCCCUGUGACAGCGUCACCGUGUCCUCUCUAACCUCUGUGUCCUGAGUCCCUGUGACAGCGUCCCCGUGUCCUCUCUAACCUGUGUCCUGAGUCCCUGUGACAGCGUCCCCGUUCCUCUCUAACCUGGGUCUUGAGUCCCUGUGAGGGUUUCCCCGUGUCCUCCCUAACCUGUGUCCUGAGUCCCUGUUACACUGUCCCUGUGUCCUCUCUAACCUGUGUCCUGAGUCCCUGUGACACUGUCCCCGUGUCUU
rnacentral:lncRNA from 1 species